GAGUUUGAUCAUGGCUCAGAACGUACGCUGGCGGCACGCCUAACACAUGCAAGUCGAACGAAGUAGCAAUACUUAGUGGCAGACGGGUGAGUAACAUGUAGGUAUCUGCCCUUUGGCCUGGAAUAACACGAGGAAACUUGUGCUAAUACCGGAUAAGUCUUUACGGAGAAAGCUUUAUGCACCAUUGGAUGAGCCUGCACUUGAUUAGUUUGUUGGUAGGGUAAUGGCCUACCAAGACUGUGAUCAAUAGCUGAUUUGAGAGGAUGAUCAGCCACAUUGGGACUGAGACACGGCCCAAACUCCUACGGGAGGCAGCAGUGGGGAAUCUUGCACAAUGGAGGAAACUCUGAUGCAGCGAUGCCGCGUGAGUGAAGAAGGCCCUUGGGUUGUAAAGCUCUUUCGUCGGGGAAGAAAAUGACUGUACCCGAAUAAGAAGGUCCGGCUAACUUCGUGCCAGCAGCCGCGGUAAUACGAAGGGACCUAGCGUAGUUCGGAAUUACUGGGCUUAAAGAGUUCGUAGGUGGUUGAAAAAGUUAGUGGUGAAAUCCCAGAGCUUAACUCUGGAACUGCCAUUAAAACUUUUCAGCUAGAGUAUGAUAGAGGAAAGCAGAAUUUCUAGUGUAGAGGUGAAAUUCGUAGAUAUUAGAAAGAAUACCAAUUGCGAAGGCAGCUUUCUGGAUCAUUACUGACACUGAGGAACGAAAGCAUGGGUAGCGAAGAGGAUUAGAUACCCUCGUAGUCCAUGCCGUAAACGAUGUGUGUUAGACGUUGGAAAUUUAUUUUCAGUGUCGCAGGGAAACCGAUAAACACACCGCCUGGGGAGUACGACCGCAAGGUUAAAACUCAAAUGAAUUGACGGGGACCCGCACAAGUAGUGGAGCAUGUGGUUUAAUUCGAAGAUACGCGCAGAACCUUACCAACACUUGACAUGUUCGUCGCGACUCUAAGAGAUUAGAGUUUUCGGUUCGGCCGGACGAAACACAGGUGCUGCAUGGCUGUCGUCAGCUCGUGUCGUGAGAUGUUGGGUUAAGUCCCGCAACGAGCGCAACCCUCACUUUUAGUUGCCAUCAUUAAGUUGGGCACUCUGAAAGAACUGCCAGUGAUAAGCUGGAGGAAGGUGGGGAUGACGUCAAGUCCUCAUGGCCCUUACGUGUUGGGCUACACACGUGCUACAAUGGUAUCUACAACAGGAAGCAAGACUGCGAAGUUAAGCAAAUCCCUAAAAGAUACCUCAGUUCGGAUUGCACUCUGCAACUCGAGUGCAUGAAGCUGGAAUUACUAGUAAUCGUGGAUCAGCGUGCCACGGUGAAUGCGU
rnacentral:rRNA from 1 species